CCGUAGCCCAAGAGAUCGGGAUAACACCUGGAAACAGAUGCUAAUACCGGAUAACAANAGAUGAUGCCUAUCAACUGUUUAAAAGAUGGUUCUGCUAUCACUCUUGGAUGGACCUGCGGUGCAUUAGCUAGUUGGUAGGGUAACGGCCUACCAAGGCGAUGAUGCAUAGCCGAGUUGAGAGACUGAUCGGCCACAUUGGGACUGAGACACGGCCCAAACUCCUACGGGAGGCAGCAGCC
rnacentral:rRNA from 1 species